AUCCAGCUGACGAGUCCCAAAUAUAACGAAAGGCGUGUCUUUGAU
rfam:Schistosoma mattheei strain Denwood, Zambia genome assembly, scaffold: SMTD_scaffold0011909